AGAGGAGCUUGCUUCAACAAUACAGAGAAGACAUUGCAUCAGAUCCUAACAGAAUUCCCGCAAACAAUGCUGUAAAUCAAUUUGCUGAAGCAUUGGCUAAAGCUUGGAAUGAAUAUGGUGAUCCAAGGGCUGUGAUUAUUUUUGUGGUUCAAGCUGAAGAGCGCAAUAUGUAUGACCAGCAUUGGCUUUCUGCAUCAUUGAGAGAAAGACAUCAAGUUACAACUAUCAGAAAGACGCUGGCUGAAAUUGAUGCACUUGGCGAGCUUCAACAAGAUGGUACCCUUGUUGUAGAUGGUCAAGCUGUGGCAGUCAUUUAUUUUAGAGCUGGCUAUGCACCAAGUGACUAUCACUCGGAAUCUGAGUGGAAAGCUAGGCUGCUGAUGGAGCAAUCACGUGCAGUCAAGUGCCCUUCAAUUUCUUAUCAUUUAGCUGGCAGCAAGAAGAUUCAGCAAGAGCUUGCAAAGCCCAAUGUACUUGAAAGGUUUCUGGAAAACAAAGAUGACAUUGCCAAACUACGGAAAUGCUUUGCAGGGUUGUGGAGCUUGGAUGAAUCCGACAUUGUCAAGGAUGCAAUUGAGAGGCCUGAAUUGUAUGUUAUGAAACCACAACGAGAAGGAGGAGGAAACAAUAUCUAUGGGGAGGAUGUCAGAGGUGCUCUUUUGAAACUGCAAAAGGAAGGCACUGGAAGUGAUGCAGCCUACAUACUAAUGCAGAGGAUUUUCCCGAAGAUCUCUCACUCGAUACUAAUGCGAGAAGGCAUCUCUCAUAAAGAAGAAACCAUAUCAGAACUUGGGAUAUAUGGUACCUAUUUAAGGAACAAAACGGAAGUUUUAAUCAACCAACAGGCUGGUUACUUGAUGCGAACAAAGGUCUCUUCAUCAGAUGAGGGGGGAGUUGCAGCCGGGUUUGCAGUUUUGGACAGUAUAUACUUGGUUUGAUGGAAUUGUCUUGCGCGUUGACACUAUAACAAUGGUUGAAUGCAGAAGCUGGACAAGUCAUUUCCUACAUUAUGUUGAGACACCAUGCUUUAGCCUGUUUAACCUUUCCUUGUUUUACAUUGUAUUUUUCUUGCUUAACAUCUUUAAUAAAUAGAGCUCCACAUCUGAAGGAAGUGACCAAAAGAAUGGUAUAGUCAAUUCAAAGUGUUUGCUUGCAAUUUUAACCUAUUCAGUGUUUGGACUCUUUGUUACCACAGGAGCUUUUACUGUUCUGUUCAUUACAUGUAAUUCUGUUUCACUUUUG
rnacentral:misc_RNA from 1 species